ensembl:rRNA 5S_rRNA 5S ribosomal RNA
GUCUAUGGCCAUGCUACUACCCUGAACAAGCACAAUCCUGUCUGACCUUAGAAGCUAAGCAGAGUUUAAGCAGGGUUAGGCCUGGUUAGGACUUGGAUGGGAGACCACCUAGGAAGACCAGGUGCUGUAGGCA